CAGAGUUGCAAAACUCCCACAAACCUAUCGCGAAUCUUACCCGUACGGUUGCCUCGGCGCUGGCGGUCCGGAAGGCCCUCGGGCCCCCGGAUCCUCGGGUCUCCCGCUCGCGGGAGGCUGCCCGCCGGAGUGCCGAAAACUAAACUCUUGAUAUCUUAUGUCUCUCUGAGUACACUUUUAAAUAAGUCA
rnacentral:misc_RNA from 1 species